rnacentral:rRNA from 1 species
GUGCGAAAGCCUGAUCCAGCGACGCCGCGUGGGUGAAGAAGGCCUGCGGGUUGUAAAGCCCUUUCGGUGGGGAAGAAAAGCCUCGAGUUAACACCUCGGGGUCUUGACGUAACCCAUAGAAGAAGCACCGGCUAACUCUGUGCCAGCAGCCGCGGUAAUACAGAGGGUGCGAGCGUUAAUCGGAAUUACUGGGCGUAAAGCGCGCGUAGGCGGCUUUGCAAGUCGGGUGUGAAAUCCCCAGGCUUAACCUGGGAACUGCAUUCGAGACUGCAUUGCUAGAGUAUGGGAGAGGGAAGUGGAAUUUCCGGUGUAGCGGUGAAAUGCGUAGAUAUCGGAAGGAACAUCAGUGGCGAAAGCGACUUCCUGGACCAAUACUGACGCUCAUGUGCGAAAGCGUGGGGAGCAAACAGGAUUAGAUACCCUGGUAGUCCACGCCAUAAACGAUGAGAACUGGAUGUCGGGAGGGUCUGCCUCUCGGUGUCGUAGCUAACGCGUUAAGUUCUCCGCCUGGGGGAGUA